rnacentral:rRNA from 1 species
UACGAAGGGGACGAGCGUUGUUCGGAAUUACUGGGCGUCAAGGGCGCGCAGGCGGUCCUUCAAGUCAGAUGUGAAAGCCCCGGGCUCAACCUGGGAACUGCAUUUGAGACUGGAGGACUUGAGGACGGGAGAGGAGAGUGGAAUUCCCAGUGUAGAGGUGAAAUUCGUAGAUAUUGGGAAGAACACCGAUGGCGAAGGCAGCUCUCUGGACCGUUACUGACGCUGAGGCGCGAAAGCGUGGGGAGCAAACAGG